rnacentral:rRNA from 1 species
CCUACGGGUGGCAGCAGUGAGGAAUAUUGGUCAAUGGCCGAGAGGCUGAACCAGCCAAGUCGCGUGAGGGAUGACGGCCCUACGGGUUGUAAACCUCUUUUGUCGGGGAGCAAAGAGAGCCACGUGUGGCUCUUUGAGAGUACCUGAAGAAAAAGCAUCGGCUAACUCCGUGCCAGCAGCCGCGGUAAUACGGAGGAUGCGAGCGUUAUCCGGAUUUAUUGGGUUUAAAGGGUGCGCAGGCGGAAGGGCAAGUCAGCGGUCAAAUUUCGGGGCUCAACCCCGUCCUGCCGUUGAAACUGCAGCCCUUGAGUGCGCGAGAAGUAUGCGGAAUGCGUGGUGUAGCGGUGAAAUGCAUAGAUAUCACGCAGAACUCCGAUUGCGAAGGCAGCAUACCGGCGCUCAACUGACGCUCAUGCACGAAAGCGUGGGUAUCGAACAGGAUUAGAUACCCGAGUAGUC